rnacentral:rRNA from 1 species
GGAAUCUUCCACAAUGGGCGAAAGCCUGAUGGAGCAACGCCGCGUGUGAUGAAGGGUUUCGGCUCGUAAAACACUGUUGUAAGAGAAGAAUGACAUUGAGAGUAACUGUUCAAUGUGUGACGGUAUCUUACCAGAAAGGAACGGCUAAAUACGUGCCAG